AGAGCAAAUCUCAAAAAGCAGUCUCAGUUCAGAUUGUAGGCUGAAACUCGCCUAUAUGAAGUCGGAAUUGCUAGUAAUCGCAGAUCAGCAUGCUGCGGUGAAUACGUUCCCGGGCCUUGUACACACCGCCCGUCACACCAUGAGAGUCGAUAACACCCGAAGCCUGUAGUCUAACCAUAAGGAGGACGCAGUCGAAGGUGGGAUUGAUAAUUAGGGUGAAGUCGUAACAAGGUAUC
rnacentral:rRNA from 1 species